GCCUAUUCUGCCAGGUUUGCUCUUUUAGCUCUCAUGUUAAAUUUCUUUAUUCUAAGCCUUUCAAACAUCAUUUUAACAUUCAUAUAACAUAUUUAUACAAUCAAAGCAACAUUUCCAGCAAGUAAAAUCAACCCCUAAUUUCACUUAUUCAUGGCAGAAACAAAGGAAAGCAGAAAAUCAAGUAAACACCAAACCUUUCUUGAAUCUCUUCUUUUCUUUUCCUCUUCUAUUCUCUAGCUAUCUCCUUUUCCUUUGAUGUUCCUUCACCUAGGUCAGUUUUAUGUCUUAGGAGAGGAUUGAAUAAACUAUAAAUUAAAGCUUUACAAAUCAAAUUCAUGCAUGAAGAAAUGAGUAGAUGUCAUUUCCUACACAUUUCUAAGCUUACCUUUGAUUUUCAAGCUUGGUGCAUAUGGAACCCUAAACUUUUCUUCUUCAAUUCUUUCAAUAUAUGGCUGUUCCUUUAGCUCUUGGUCUUAGGAUCAAUUUUGGUUAAAGGAAGAAGUUGAUUUGGUGAGAUUUGGCUUAGCUUUGGUGGAAGGAAAACAAAACCAAGCUUUGGUCUUCAAUGGAUGUGAGCUACGGCAAUGUGAGGAAGGAAGAAGACAAUCCCUUUUUCAUUUUGCUUUGUCAAUUCUCCUUUGCUUAGUUAGGUGACAUAUGGAAAGUAAAUCUGAAUUUUUAUGUUUUAACUUUCCA
rnacentral:lncRNA from 1 species